AUUGAACGCUGGCGGCAGGCCUAACACAUGCAAGUCGAACGAGUGGCGGACGGGUGAGUAAUGUCUGGGAAACUGCCCGAUGGAGGGGGAUAACUACUGGAAACGGUAGCUAAUACCGCAUACCAUCGGAUGUGCCCAGAUGGGAUUAGCUAGUGGGUGGGGUAACGGCGCACCUAGGCGACGAUCCCUAGCUGGUCUGAGAGGCUGACCAGCAACACUGGAACGGAGACACGGUCCAGACUCCUACGGGAGGCAGCAGUGGGGAAUAUUGCACAAUGGGCGCAAGCCUGAUGCAGCCAUGCCGCGUGUAUGAAGAAGGCCUUCGGGUUGUAAAGUACUUUCAGUGGGGAGGCGUUACCUACAGAAGAAGCACCGGCUAACUCCGUGCCAGCAGCCGCGGUAAUUC
rnacentral:rRNA from 1 species